AUUGUAUAGACUAUAGACAUAAUUGAAUUUUCUUGCAUUUCUUCUCGUCGUGCGUAAGUCACACCGCAUUUGUAGCCGACUUUAGGGUUUCUGCUCCAGUGCUCCGCCCCUACGCGUUGCUCUUCACUGUGAUAAGCUUUCCUCCGCCACACCGCCCUCCGCCUCUACUUCCACGGUUCGCCAUUGCUGCUCAGUUGUGAUGGAAUUUCUGUUUGAUGCUUGCAGUACUUGUUUCAGCGCCGCUUUAUUAAUUGGAGACCACACAUUUUCUAUGGAUUGUGUUGAUUUCUAUUGUCUUUUUGAGGAUUCGGAUGGGAGGACCAUUGAUUCGCCUGCUGCUUCAGAAUUUGACUUUGUCAUUGUGGGUUCUAAUGUUGUCAAUGGGGAUAUGUGGAUUAGGAAAAGCAUACCACAAGUGUCCACAACAACCAGGAGGUUCUGAAUGUGGAUAUUACGUUAAGCAAUCAAGGCUUUUGUCUAGAAGAGGGUUGACACUGAACCCACCUAAUAUCACUCCCCGUGUCAAUCGUCAAAUAUUGUGCCGGAGUCCUCACCCCAAUCCUCAAUCCUCACUACGUAUUCUACAAGCUCGAGAUCCCAACCGGAAACAACCUCCGCCCCUAACUCCCCCACCUCAUACUCGGUGCCGCUAGUUCUCCGAAUGAGGUCGGCGACUCUGUGUGCGUCUCUUUUCAUUCGGGAUUCGAAUCGGCGGCCGAAGUCGGUAAAAUUGGAAAAGGGCAAUUCAUCUCUGUGGAGGAGGUUGAGCUUCCAACUACUUGAAUUAUAAUACUUUAAUUAAAGCAUUCAAGGCUUGAUUGUCUAGAAGAGGUGUUCGAACAGGCAACCCACUCCAUAAAUAAAAUAGAUGAAAUCUGAGAAUUGUGGGCAAAAUACUUUGUAGAUGAGUGCGUGUAACUUUAUUUGGUUUAAACAUUAUCUUUAUUAUUAUUAACUUAAUGUUUAUGUUUUGUUAAAGAAUUGUAUCUUGAUUUCAAUUAUAAAUGUGUUAUUGUUAUUAUUGUGUAGUGUCCACAACAACCGUGAGGUUCUGAAUGUGGAUACUAGCGAUACAUGUGGGAGAUUGUUACUAAGCAUUCAAGGCUUGAUUGUCUAGAAGAGGUAUUCAAACAGGCAACCUACUCCAUAAAUGAAAUAGAUGAAAUCCGAGAGUUCUGGGCAAAAUACUUUGUAGAUGUGCGUGCAACUUUAUUUGUGGUUUAAAUAUUAUCUUUAUUAUUAUUAACUUAUGUUUAUGUUUUGUUAUAGAAUUGUAUCUUUGAUUUCAAUUAUAAAUGUGUUGAUUGUUA